CUACGGGUCGCUCCAGUGAGGAAUUUUGCGCAAUGGGGGGAACCCUGACGCAGCAACGCCGCGUGAGUGAUGAAGGCUUUCGGGUCGUAAAGCUCUGUCAAGUGGGAAGAACCUAUGCAGUGUUAAUAUCACUGUAUACUGACGGUACCACUGAAGGAAGCACCGGCUAACUCCGUGCCAGCAGCCGCGGUAAUACGGGGGGUGCAAGCGUUAUUCGGAAUCAUUGGGCGUAAAGGGCACGUAGGCGGCUUGGUAAGUCAGAUGUGAAAGCCCGGGGCUUAACCCCGGAAGUGCAUUUGAUACUGUCGGGCUUGAGUAUGGGAGAGGGAAGUGGAAUUCCUGGUGUAGAGGUGAAAUUCGUAGAUAUCAGGAGGAACACCGGUGGCGAAGGCGACUUCCUGGACCAAUACUGACGCUGAGGUGCGAAGGCGUGGGUAGCAAACAGGAUUAGAUACCCCAGUAGUC
rnacentral:rRNA from 1 species